GAUGAACGCUGGCGGCGUGCCUAAUACAUGCAAGUCGAGCGAACAGACGAGGAGCUUGCUCCUCUGACGUUAGCGGCGGACGGGUGAGUAACACGUGGAUAACCUACCUAUAAGACUGGGAUAACUUCGGGAAACCGGAGCUAAUACCGGAUAAUAUAUUGAACCGCAUGGUUCAAUAGUGAAAGACGGUUUUGCUGUCACUUAUAGAUGGAUCCGCGCCGCAUUAGCUAGUUGGUAAGGUAACGGCUUACCAAGGCAACGAUGCGUAGCCGACCUGAGAGGGGGAGAGGCAACACGGGAACGGAGAACGGGUCAAGACUCCACGGGGAGGCAGAAGUAGGGAAUGUCCGGAAAGGGGAGAAGGCCUGACGGAGAAACGCGGGGGGAGGAAUGAAGGUCUGCGGAUCGAAAAACUGUGUUAUGAGGAAAAAACAAAUGGGAAAGAAAAUAGGCAGGUCUGGAGGUAACAAAAUAAGAAAGCCACGGCAAACUACGUG
rnacentral:rRNA from 1 species